rnacentral:lncRNA from 1 species
GAUUGCUGUAGUGCCAGUUGGUCAGGUUACAGUGGCUCCUGGCCCAGACUCUCAUAGAGAUCAUGCUGUAGCAGGUGUUGCUGCUCCGUGCACUUCUCCCUCGCGGCCUGCUGAUGGAGAACAUCUGGAGAGCCUCUGUUCUACCCCUUCUUUCCUGUCCCCGAUAUGACCAGGCGAUGUAGCGAGCAGUGAGAUACAUGUCGACACAUGGUUACCAGGUCCCUUCACAGAGUACAGAGUGCCUCCACAUCCAGACCUGCCCUUACUGCUCCACUGACACUGAGGCUGCAUGAAGAAUUGAUGUGUAUGAGAAGGGCUCACCCUAAAGAAUCAGCCAACAGAGAUGUGAGUGUCUGGAGUGUUUCUGCAUGGCAGCAGCUGGAAGACAGAGGCAAAACAGUACACAGACCUGAGACCAGCUGGGGAGUCCAGCAGCCUUGUAUGAUGAAGUAAGCCUGUGAAUGGAGUGACGUGCUCUGUCAGAGAGAAAGAGAGAGAGAGAGAGAGAGAGAGAGAGAGAGUGAACGAGGUAGGACAAACAGGACCUUUGAGUAAUCUUCACCUCUCCUAUCCUCCCCUACAGGAAAAUCAAGUGUCCUCAUUCAUUGCACUGGGAUCAAUGUGAGCCUGGCUGUAAAAAUUGACAAAUUACUUAUUAGUUUCACAACAUUUUUUCUUCUGACUGAUUAACUUGCAGGGAGGUGCCAGAAUGCAUCACAUUCUUCUCCAUAUAGGCUCUGAGUGAGCACUGUGUGACUGGGCAUGGUAUAUUAUUUUACUGUGAAAAGACACUACUACAAUACAAUACUAGAGCAAAAGUCAUAUUUGGAAUAAGUAGUAGAUUUGUAGUAGAAAAGUGCUAGACUUUUUUUAUAAUUUCGAC